CACGUGAGAAUUUACCUUUAGGAGGGGGAUAACAAUCGGAAACGAAUGCUAAUACCCCAUAUGCUUUCGAGUGAAAUGGAUUUAUAUUUAUCCGCCUAGAGAGAAGCUCGCGGCUGAUUAGCUUGUUGGUAAGGUAAGAGCUUACCAAGGCGACGAUCAGUAUCUGGUUUGAGAGGACGAUCAGACACACUGGAACUGAGACACGGUCCAGACUCCUACGGGAGGCAGCAGUGGGGAAUAUUGCACAAUGGGCGCAAGCCUGAUGCAGCAACGCCGCGUGGGGGAUGACGGCCUGGUGUA
rnacentral:rRNA from 1 species